rnacentral:rRNA from 1 species
GAGUUUGAUCUUGGCUCAGAUUGAACGCUGGCGGAAUGCUUUACACAUGCAAGUCGAGCGGCAGCGCGGGGCAACCUGGCGGCGAGCGGCGAACGGGUGAGUAAUGCAUCGGAACAUGUCCAUGUCGUGGGGGAUAGCCCGGCGAAAGCCGGAUUAAUACCGCAUACGCCCGAGAGGGGAAAGUGGGGGACCGCAAGGCCUCACGCGAUUGGGUUGGCCGAUGUCCGAUUAGCUAGUUGGCGGGGUAAGAGCCCACCAAGGCGAUGAUCGGUAGCUGGUCUGAGAGGAUGAUCAGCCACACUGGGACUGAGACACGGCCCAGACUCCUACGGGAGGCAGCAGUGGGGAAUUUUGGACAAUGGGGGCAACCCUGAUCCAGCCAUUCCGCGUGAGUGAAGAAGGCCUUCGGUUGUAA